GUCCGUUUAAACCCUAGAAGCAAUUGACAGAUCAAAAACCAAAUAGGACCCGAACCAGAAAACAAGUAUCACUUCAGAAAAGCAAAUCAGAAGACAAACCCUAAUCUAAUGAAAAAAGGUAAUCAAGUUGAUCAGUUGUAUUUAUCAAAAAAAAAAAAGUUGAUCAGUUGUCUCCUGGCUUGAGUAGCAAGGAGUUUGAAGCGAACACGUAGAAUCUCUGAAAGAGGUGGCAACAAUCUGAUGCAAAUGGCCCAGGUGGCAGUAAGG